UGGGGAAUUUUGGACAAUGGGCGAAAGCCUGAUCCAGCAAUGCCGCGUGUGUGAAGAAGGCCUUCGGGUUGUAAAGCACUUUUGUCCGGAAAGAAAUCCUUGGCUCUAAUACAGUCGGGGGAUGACGGUACCGGAAGAAUAAGCACCGGCUAACUACGUGCCAGCAGCCGCGGUAAUACGUAGGGUGCAAGCGUUAAUCGGAAUUACUGGGCGUAAAGCGUGCGCAGGCGGUUUGCUAAGACCGAUGUGAAAUCCCCGGGCUCAACCUGGGAACUGCAUUGGUGACUGGCAGGCUAGAGUAUGGCAGAGGGGGGUAGAAUUCCACGUGUAGCAGUGAAAUGCGUAGAGAUGUGGAGGAAUACCGAUGGCGAAGGCAGCCCCCUGGGCCAAUACUGACGCUCAUGCACGAAAGCGUGGGGAGCAAACAGGAUUAGAUACCCUGGUAGUCCACGCCCUAAACGAUGUCAACUAGUUGUUGGGGACUUCAUUUCCUUAGUAACGUAGCUAACGCGUGAAGUUGACCGCCUGGGGAGUACGGUCGCAAGAUUAAAACUCAAAGGAAUUGACGGGGUCAUAGCUGUUUCC
rnacentral:rRNA from 1 species